AUGGCGACCGGCGCACGGGUGAGUAACACGUAUCCAACCUGCCCUUUACUCGGGGAUAGCCUUUCGAAAGAAAGAUUAAUACCCGAUAGCAUAAUGAUUCCGCAUGGUUUCAUUAUUAAAGGAUUCCGGUAAAGGAUGGGGAUGCGUUCCAUUAGGUUGUUGGUGAGGUAACGGCUCACCAAGCCUUCGAUGGAUAGGGGUUCUGAGAGGAAGGUCCCCCACAUUGGAACUGAGACACGGUCCAG
rnacentral:rRNA from 1 species